rnacentral:lncRNA from 10 species
GGCUAAGUCACUUUAUCUCUCCAGCCAUUGAAAGCUUGGAUUAAAUCAUAGGCUUUAGAGCUAGGUUCCAUGGAGCUUUGGAGUUCUGUUAUACCUGUCACAGGAUAGGGACCAUUGAUAAAAGAGACUCUUAGCAGAUGAGAAUCUGGACAUCUGGGCUCGGAGAAGCUUUGAUUUUACCUGUUUUUAUACACUGAUUUAAGGGACACCAUGCCAACAGGGUCACAUGGAGCCUGUGCUCAGGAACAGAGUGGAUGACAAGGAUUGUGGGAGGCGAGAUACAGGGGUUAGAGCACAAAUUGUGCAGUGCCCCUUAGCAUUUGAUUUUUACUGAAAGAUGGGAACCCAGAAAAGGGAUGUGGGUAAAAGAAUGGCCUGCUAUUUGACCAACUUUUCUUUUCAUCUCUCGAAGAGCCUAGCAAAGUACUGAGCACAUAAAGGCUGCUGAAUA